CGGAGCUUAGCCGCAGCAGUCCCUCUGCUCGGGAGAGGCGCUGGGGGCCCGGGCUUUGGAGGUGGAGCGGAGCGCUGAGAGUAGGCUAGAGUCUGGGUUAAAGGGUGCAUUGGUGGACAUCUAAUACCAUGCGUGCUGAUCUGAAGGAAUUUCCUCAGGGGAGUGUGAGAUGCAUAUAUCUUAUUUAUAGUCUCCUGGGAGAUUUUUACUUAUCCAUAGUCACAGUUAAAUCAAUAUGGCCUCGGCUCUUCCCAACCAGUAAUAUAUGGUUAGCUGAAUUGCUUUAAUAAAACAUAAGAUAAAUUGAAAUUCUCUUAUUUUCUCUCGUGUGACCCUUUUAAGCACUUUGCCAUGGUAAGAUUUUCAUGGUAAAAUAGUCGAUUGGAAAAGUGCUUAGAUAAUUCAAACUCUUUGAAAAACUGCUCUGCCCAUCGUUUAAAUUUUGCCAAAAUUUGUACCAUUUUUAGACUGAUUAAUAACUAAUCAUUGACUGGGAUGCAUUCUUUUAACCUAAGAGUGGUGUCAAUUAUAUAAUUUGUCAAUUAUAUAAUUUUUUUCUACUUGAGUCACAGAAAUGUUAGAAAUAACUCAAUGAUUAUUACCUGAUAAUGAAUCAGGUUUCUGGGGGGAGGCGGUCCUUGGUUGAAAAUUGGGUAGGUGUUUAAGCAAAUUUAGUUCUAGGCCUCAAAGAUACAUUUCUGUAAAAAAAAAAAAAGUCAUUUAUUUGUCAACCUACAUUUAAAAAUAGUAUGAAUACCUAUUACAAAGUGUUUUUUUUUCCCUCAUGUGAAGAACAUGGCUCAUAUUACAGUUCGUAUAACCUGGUAGUUGAAAAAAGUUAAGAUUUCUCAUCAUCAAAAUAGUUACGGCACUGCCUACCAAAUAGUUUUUGUCUAUAUUUAGUAGAUAUUCUCCCUGAGUUCUAACAGUUUACAUAUAAAAUAAGUGGGGUUGACGGUGAAAGAAAGAGUGAAAGAUAUAUUAGAGAGGAAGAAAUGACAGUUAUCUGACUGUCCAGCUCAUCUCUUGUUCAUGAUUUGAUAUAUGAAAAUUGUUCAGCGUAAUUUCUGCGGUUGUCAGAAAAUGACAAUCAGAAUAAUAUACUGGAAAAUGAUUUAGAUUCGUUAUGGUCCUAGGCUCCCCUGUUUCUAAAAAUGUGUCAGUUUGGAGGACAUUUAGCCACUUUGGGCCUCAGAUUUCUCCUCUAUAAAAGGGGGUUAAAAAGCCAAUCACCAGGCUGUUGUGAAUUAAAUAUGGAAGGUGCUAUGAAAAAUGGAAAGCAUUCUGGAAGAGGUAGCUUUUAGAAAGCAUUUGAAAUCACUGCUUUUAGAGCUAGAAGCCACCUUUGGAAAUAGUGAGCCCCCUGUCUCCGUUUGGGAAAUGAGAGACCAGGACACGGAGGAGGUGACCUUUGCUCCACAUCACACAGAACUUGGACCUCAAUUUAGACCCCUUGAUGCACUGAGCUAUCUCAUUUGUUUACUUGUGCGUUUAUUUGUUGUGUUUGAUUAUAACUACACUGUUGGGAUUAUUAAGAAGCGCAGGGUUGUAACUUUAUCUCUUUUGAAAAUGUAGACGCCAAGAUGAGAAUUCUGUAGAGAUUUCAGUUGUACACUCCCUUGUUUAGAAGUUCUAGAGAAUAGGCCUGUUUUUGAACAUGCUGGCAGUGUACCUUGCUGGCUAGUUUCCAGCUAAGCUUUUUACCAAAUCCUGGCUUUAAUCCACCAGCAGCAUCUGGAGCAAUGGAAUGAACUAGACACCUCAGAGCCUCCAACUCUUCCUUUUGUUUGCAUUGAUUUAUCUCUUGCUGGGUCAUCAGAGUGAUGCUUCUUACGAUCCAGCAACUAGGAUGGAGAUUAUGAUUGAGAAAUAAUGUUGUCAUUUUCAUACCUUUUGGCAUACUUUUAAAGUAUUUUCAAGACAAGCAAUGAACUUUCAACUUUACCUUCUAGAACAGCUCUAUCCAAUAGAACUAUGAUAUACACUGAAUAUGUAAUUUAAAAUUUUCUUGCAGUCAUAUAAAAAAUUAAGGAAGCAGUGUUAAAAUUAAUCUUAGCAUUAUUUUAAUUCAAUAUAUCUAAAAUAUAAUUUCAACAUGUAAUCAGUAUUUUAAAACUAUUAAUGAGAUAUUUCAUAUCCUCUUUUUAAAAUGUCUUUGAAAUCCAGUGUGUAUUUUAUACCCACAGUACAUCUUAAUUCCGAUGCUAAAUUUUCCUUGGAAAUAUUUGAUCUGCAUUUGAUUUCAUAAAAUUUGCAUUUGAAAAAUAGCUUUAUAUACUCAAACUGUUCUGAAAAAAAAUUUCCUCUAGGAGUUCCCAUUGUGGCUCAGCAGAAACUAAUCCAACUAGGAGCCAUGAGGUUGUGCGUUUGAUCCCUGGCCUCACUCAGUGGGUUGAGGAUCCUGUGUUGCCCUGAGCUGUGGUGUAUGUCGCAGAUGCAGCUGCGUUGCUGUGGCUGUGGUGUAGGCCGGCAGCUGCAGCUCUGAUUUCACCCCUAGCCUGAGAACCUCCAUAUGUUGCAGGUGCGGCCCCACAAAACAAAAAAAAGAAAAAAUUCAUUUAACUGAAUUGAGUACUACCUCAGUUUGUCAGUUAUGUUAGUCAGAUUUCAGGUACUCAAUAGCCACAUGUAGCUAGUGGCUGCCAUAUAGGAUAGCAUGAUUUCAGAAGCUUCUGCAAUGCUCAUAUUUUAGCAUCUCUCUCUUUAUAUGGGGGGAAAAUAGUCAAAAAUCCAUCUAUCCCUCUACUUUAUUUUAUUUCAUUGACUAAUGCUUUAUUUUGCUAUGCAAACACCUUUCUAUACUUUCUGUAGUAAAUACAUAGAUUUUCCUUUUCAUAUUGAAUGGUAAAACAUCCAUUAUAAGAACUGAUGGGAAGAUAAAUGUUGGGAAAUUGCCUUAACUGUGCUUGUUAGUGCUUGAAUUGACCAGAUUUCCUCUCCAGCAGCUUUGAAUGCUUUGUGGGUUUGUAUAGCUGUGUGCCCUGCUUUAUAAGUACUUUCAGUGUAACCUGCUUAGUUUCACUUGAUUGUUCUAGUGUGGUUAAGGACAAAUGUUUUGGAAUAAUAACAGGCCUAUCAAAUUGCCAACUGGGAGAGCCAUGGAUUAUGCUUAGGGCAGCUUUUUGUGGCAUUUUCUGUACCUGGCAAAAUAUUUUAUUAAAAAAAAAAAAAUUUCAACUUCCCAAUGGAUUCUUUACUGGCAGAUUCUAGAAAAUACUUGUUUAUAUAAUAUAUUGGCUUACUACUUACCAUUACUUUCUUAAAAGUUAGUGUUUGGGGACCCUGUAGAGAGAUGGAUUAACAGAGGAAUUGAGAGCAUGGCUUAUGAGUCAGACUGGCUGUAUUUGUAUCAUGAUUUGACUACUUAUAAAUUAUGUGAAUUUGUGCAAUUAUCUCACCUUUCCCAGCCUUAGUUUUCUCAUUCUGGUAUGGAGAUAGGAAUUGAGUCUACUUUAGGGUUGUUAGAGAAUCAAAUGAGAAUAUAUCCUCUGCCCUGUGCCUGGAACAGAGUAAAUGCUCAGAAUAUGAGCUAUUACUAUGCAAAGACUACCAGGACUACACACUGUCACGCUUUAAACCCAUCUCCAAAGGUUAAAAAGAGGAAUAUCACAUGCUAUACUUGGUCACAUUGAAGGAAAGUCAAAAAGGUAUAAACUCUGCAGAGUGGAGUGUCAGAGUGCAAAGUCUCCAGUUUCACUUUUUGUUGUUUUUCUUUUAAAUUAGUGUGCACGUUUUUUCUCCCAAGGUGUAAGAGGAAUUGUUCAGCAGUGAAAAUUUUUCUUUUCUUACCUGUUCCAAGAUGACUGGUUUGCAUCUGUUUUGAAACAAGGCUUUAUAAACAAAUCCUUGAAAAUAAUUCUAUGAAUAGUAGAUCAGACUUUUAAUCAAGGUAUGGUUUUAUGUUCUGAAAAUUAUAGCAAAGAUAAACAUCAUGAAGUACAUUUGCUAGUUUUAUGUACUGCCAGAUUGGUAAAUUACUGUACUUUUUUGAUGUCCUAUUAUUGUUGUGGUUGGUUGUGUUUUAAUUUACAUCAUCCUUCAUGUUUCUCAACUCCUAUUUCUCAGAAAUCUUUUCUGUAUUGUUAUUAAUAUGGCAUGCGUAAUGUUUAUAGUGUUUGCAUAAAAAUAGAUCAUCUCAGAUAGGUAGUUUUCAAUGUUUAAAGCAAAUGUGCUUACUCAUUGACUGUGAGAAAUUUCCUUCUGAAACAAAUAUAGGACCAUCCAUCUCUUGAAAGAAAUUCUUAUGUUCUUUGCUUAUCUGCCUGACUGCCUUGAAAACAUAGCUUGGAAAUCAUUCCCAUAUUCUUGGGAAGCAGUCCAUCAUUUAGCCAGUGUCUACUGAACAGCAAAAUCCUUGAGAUAAUCAGGUUGUUACAAGUAAAGAUAUUUUAGGAAGGGGGUCUUAAUCAGGUAAAAUGA
rnacentral:lncRNA from 1 species